AGAUGUGAGGGCAAUCUGGCUGCAACAUGUGUCACCCCAUUGGUCACCAGGGUUCAUUCAUCUGGCUGGCUAGGCGAGUGUCCCCUUCCUCCCUCCCCGCUCCGUGUGUGCCUCUCCCAAAGCUGUGUGCUCAGUGGAAGAGUAAGAAUGGGUUUUUAACUUUCUUCCACAUCAGAAAUAUGUUUACUAGGGGGAAACACUGAUUAAAUGUAGCUUUUAAUUCACACGACACCUGAAAUUACCAAGCUUGAUUGGUUAAAAAAAAAUCAGAAAUACUCGUAAAACCUUUUGUUUGGAGUCCAGUACUU
rnacentral:snRNA from 1 species